UACGUAGGGUGCAAGCGUUAAUCGGAAUUACUGGGCGUAAAGCGUGCGCAGGCGGCUUUGCAAGACAGAUGUGAAAUCCCCGGGCUCAACCUGGGAACUGCAUUUGAGACUGCAUGGCUGGAGUACGGCAGAGGGGGAUGGAAUUCCGCGUGUAGCAGUGAAAUGCGUAGAUAUGCGGAGGAACACCGAUGGCGAAGGCAAUCCCCUGGGCCUGCACUGACGCUCAUGCACGAAAGCGUGGGGAGCAAACAGG
rnacentral:rRNA from 1 species